UCUCAGAAACUGAAUAACCGCUGUUUACCAUUCUGGACCAAUCCAAAGCAAAAUCUCUCCCUCACUCUUCCGCCUCAAACAAAAGCACCUGGCGGGGGCGGGUCCACCAGUCCACAUUUGUUUUGUUUUUCUAGGAGACUAGAGAGAGAGAGGAGAGUGGACAUGCAAAUGAGCAGUGUCAAAGGUCAGACCGAGACACAGAACUUCCUUGUUAGAAAGCAGGCGGCCGGCCUCUGUCUGAAAAGGGGCGUAAACAUCAAGGUGGCUGAGUCUCCACGUUGGUCCUGGGAACCGAACUCAGGCCCUCUGCAAGAGCAGCCAGCGCUCUUAACCGAGCCGUCUCCAGCCCCGAAGAACAUUUUCAAGAGAGCACAGCCACAGGCAAGUUCUCACUAUGCAGCCCAAGCUGGCCUAUAAACCCCUCAUCAACUGCUGGAAUUACAGGUGUGCACUACAACCAGGCACCUAUACAGCAGUACCUCACCAGGUAGCCUUGGCUGGCCUCGAACUCAAGCGAUCCACGUCCCCGCCCAAGGGGUGAGAUACCAAACACGCAGCCCCAUUCCCAGCUUCCACAAAGGCGCUUUCCCACAGGUCAAGACCAGACUUUCCAAGCCCAGCCACACCGCUCCUUACCUGCUUGUGAGCCCUAAGAACACACACAAGUAGACUCACCUGAGGUUCAACU